CUGUUUGAUCUAUUUUAUGCUGUUGAGCACUAUCUAACAUUUAGUGAAUCAAAAUGUAGACAUUUUCAGCAAAACUGCUUACGUGAUCGUGUCAUUCACAGAACUUGUAAAUCGUAAUGACCGUAAUGAACAUUGUACGUCAAUUUUAGGUUAAACAGACGUUAGAAGUGCUUACGUCACACAAGUUUUAAUACAGAGGACUUCUGGAAUGCGCAGUGCAUUGUGGGAUACUCGUGGGUCAAUAAUUUAUUAAAGUUUCUGAAACGUUCUCUGAUCGUAAAUUUUUUAUUUGAAACACAAAAACUUUAUUAUGAAUUUAUUGUUUGAAAAUUACGUGACGUAAGCACUUUUGAAGGUCC